UUCUUCUUCUUCUUCAUUCAUCUUCUUCCUCAAAAUCCCCAUUAAACACACCCCAAUAAUGCUUCAAAAACCAGCAACAAAACACCUUGAAAUCAGUCCAAAAUAGCUCCAAAAUCACUGGAAAAACGCAACUGAAACACACUGUCUUUUCACCCAAAAAAACCAGUUUUCUCCAUAGCCUUUCAACCCCAUAAACUUUAGCUAAAAUUAGUCCCGAAAUAGUUGCAAAAGGCUGCCAGCUUGACCGCGAAAAAGCUUCUCUUUUAAUGUCAAAACAGAGACUGCCGAUGAGUUCGAGCUCAUCGCUUGAAAAGUCACUGUUCGAGUCACUUGAGGUUCGAAGUCUUCUGGGCAGUUGAGGUCUGUUUGUGAGAUUGCCGACGAGUCCUUUGUUCCCGGUUUAGCUUGGUCGAGUUUUCUUGUCGAAUUUUCAUCUUUGUAUUCGAGAAGGUUUAAUAUAUAAAAGUUAAAGAAGAUUCAAAUCAAAAUCAAAAUCAGAACAGUAGAUUAACCUGGGAAGGUUAUAAUGUAUUGCUUGACAUCAAUGACGGUGACCGUUUGAUUUUUUGCUCGUCUUACUAUUGCCUCGUAAGUAAAUUACUACCAAAAUUUACUGUCUGCUGCUGUGAGCACGUGAUUUUUACCCGACUAAAAUACUCCUACAAAAUUCGCAAAAAAAAAAAUAGUUUUUUUCUAAUUAGUUUAAUUUUUGAUAUAAUUUUUAGGAAUUUCAUGUUAAUUGUUGUUUGCAUUUAGUUGCAUAUUUAAUAUUUUAAAAUCAUGAAAAAUACCAUAAAAAUGUUCAAAAAUUUCAUGCAUUGCAUUUUAGGUUUUUGUUUGCAUUUUUAGGAUUAAGUUGUUAAUUGAUUGCAUUAUUAAACAAAAAUCACAAAAUACCAUAGGCUCUUAUAUUUUUAUCUCUUAGUUCCACAUUAUUAAUUUUUGCUUCAUUAGUUUUAGGUUAAUUAAUGAUCUAAAUAUUAGAAAUAGUGAGUAGGUUAAUUUUGCAAAUUAGAAUUAAGAUAGAAUCUAAUUAGGAUUUAUAUUUUUUAAAUUUGUAGAAUUUUAAAAUGAAAGAAAAAUAAAGAAAGAAAGAGCAAGAAGAGAAAGGGCCAAUUUUGUUGCAAAAGCAAACUGGGUCGUUCUAUUAAGCUCAAUUCCCUUUUUACCCAGCCCAAUCCCGCCAAUUUCAUAUCCGGUCCAACCUCAUUUAAACUAAACGACGCCGUUUUAGUAACGGCAAUCUUGGCUGUUCAUUUCCCCAAUCCAACGGCCCUCAACUCACCACCAUUCCCCUUUAUAAUUAUCCGAAACUAGACCCCCCCUCCCUCCCCACCCCUCACUCACCCACACUACUCUCUCUCCACACNCCCCCCCCUCCCCCCCCCCCAAACCCUAGACUCCACAUAACUCGUCUCUCUCACACUUUCUCACCUCCGCCGUCCGCCACCCACAGGAAAUCGCCUACAGCGGCGGCGACACCCCAAACCACCCCAAAAUUGACACCAAAUAAUCUCUAACACCCCCUAAUCAUCAUCCUACCACCAAUUUCCCCAAAAUCCCCACCCAUCUUCUCCAAUUUCGGAUCUAAGAAAAUCAGAAAACCUAAAUAUGGUUUUUUCCCCGGAAAUUUCAAGUAUGUUUUGGUUCAAACUUACAUGAGUCAAUUGCUCUUGACACGAGCAAUCGAUUCAUGUUAGUUUGGUUCAUUUCGAAGCUCAUCGGAUUCUGGCCAACCCACCACUGACCGGUCAAGUUUCAUCGCCAUCGUUCGUUGAUUCGCCUCAAUCAUCGACUCAGCUUUUGGCCCAAAAUCAGUAAACCCCUUCUCUCUUGUUCCUUUGCUUCUUUUUUCUAAUUAUCAGUUAGGUUUAAUUUUUGAUUGUUUUGUUUGAUUGAUAGGAUUAUCUAGUUAAUUACAUGUUAAUUAGUUUUAAUUGCAUAAGUUGUUGGUUUAAUCAAUUUUAAGUAAUUAGAUGUUAAAACAAGUUAAUAGCUAAUUGGUUUGGUUUUACAUUAUUGCUUUUGUUUUAGCAAUGGGUUGUUUAUCAUUAUCCAUAAGUUUAAAAGGGACGUUUGGAAUUGGAAAUGGGUAGUUGAGUCUAUUGUUGAACUUGUUUGCUCUUCUGGGGUAGCUGUUUGUAAUUAACAAAAACUAAAGGAGUCAAAGGGAUCUGGAAAAUUAGGAAAUCUGGUUUGGUUGUUUGGGGAAGUCUCUAGAAGGGACUAAAGUGCAGGCAAAAACAUAUAGAGAAUAUCUGGAUAAGACAACUGUCCCAACAGCUCUCCAUUUUCAGUUUUAAAAGAUGCUUUUUUCCUGAAAUUUAGGAGUGGCCUGCUGAGAAUUAUUCCUCAUCCUUAGGAGCACAUGUCAGAUUUUAUUCCCUAUAUAUAGACCUCUUAUUUUUCACAGAUGAGGAAUACUCAGCUUCAUUCCUCUCCAAAUACAAUCAAGAAUAGACACAGAUUUUAGAAGGAAUUCUCUGAAAAUUGGAUCCUCUUUUCAUUUUUUCUGAGACUGCUUUCUUCUGGAGAAUACUGAAAAAUUCCAACGAGUCUUUUUCUCUGUUAAAUUGGCUAUAUAAAUUCUGGUUUGCUUCAAAAGAGUAUGAGAUAUCUAAAAUCUUUUGCUGUCAUUCUGCUCGUUUGGAAGAGAUUUAAGGUUGUUUUCUCUGGUUUGCUGCUGUUGAAUACUGGCUGAUUGGUAGUUGAUCUUCAUAUCUGGUUUUUCUUUGACCUUUAUUUGGUCGUGGAUCUAAUGUUUGAUUUCAAGUUACUAGGUAUGUGACUAUACCUUUGUAUUUUGCUGUUAAGAUGUUAAUCGAAAAUCUGAGUUACAUGUUAGUUUGUGAAUCCAUGUUAUUUGAUAUGAGAUUUAUCCACACUGAGUGGUCCAGUUGUGAUGUGUUUGUUGUCUCUGCAUUAUGAAGUUAGUAAUCCUGAUUGUUUUCAAUAUGUUUCUGCAUUUGUUUGUUUGUUUGGUUGAUAUUUGAAAUGCAUUUGAAUCCAGCCCUGUUGGAAAUCUUAUUUUGAUUAUCGUUUGGGACUGGUAAGUUAUGCAAAGGAUGUGAGAGCUUAUGGAGUCAGUUGAAGAUGUGAUGAUUGGGGUUCAAAAUUGUGAAAUUCCAACUUUGAGAUUCUUCUGUUCGUAACUCUGAGUUAGUCAUUUUAGAUUAGUUGUUCAAGCUAUGAUGUAACUCUUACUAUUAACCUCUCUUAGAUAGGUUUGAAGCAUGUAAAUGAACGAACUAUCCGUGUGCUGAAUCCAAUUUCUUUCGGUGCAUGAAGAGCGUUAUUUUAGGAUUUGUGUUGUCCUUUGCAUAAAUGGCGAGCUUUUGGGCCAGACUUGUACAGGCAGCCCAGUAUGGACAAGUCUGGACAUCUCAGGUGCUUUAACUUGGGAUGUUGAACCCAAUUUUCGUUUGUUCUGUUUCAUUUUGUGUAUUUCUCUUCUUAUAAUAAUAGCAGCUUAAUUAAUCUGCUUCUUUCCAAUUGAUGUGAACAAGUAAAUGCUUAGCCGUUUGCUUUAGGCGCGUUUAAAUAAAUCAUCGUGACUAUAGAUAUGGUUCCCGUGGCAUAGUCAUGAUACGUAAUCCCCAAUUCGAGUGCACAUUUCAUGUGACCCGACCCUAACUUCAAAC
rnacentral:lncRNA from 1 species